rnacentral:tRNA from 1 species
GGGGAUGUGACUCAGUUGGUAGAGUGCUUACCUAACAAGCCAUAGGUCCUGGGUUCUAACCCCAGCACCA